GACGAACGCUGGCGGCGUGCCUAAUACAUGCAAGUUGAGCGAUGAAGAUUGGUGCUUGCACCAAUUUGAAGAGCAGCGAACGGGUGAGUAACGCGUGGGGAAUCUGCCUUUGAGCGGGGGACAACAUUUGGAAACGAAUGCUAAUACCGCAUAACAACUUUAAACAUAAGUUUUAAGUUUGAAAGAUGCAAUUGCAUCACUCAAAGAUGAUCCCGCGUUGUAUUAGCUAGUUGGUGAGGUAAAGGCUCACCAAGGCGAUGAUACAUAGCCGACCUGAGAGGGUGAUCGGCCACAUUGGGACUGAGGCACGGCCCAAACUCCUACGGGAGGCAGCAGUAGGGAAUCUUCGGCAAUGGACGAAAGUCUGACCGAGCAACGCCGCGUGAGUGAAGAAGGGUUUCGGAUCGUAAAACUCUGUUGGUAGAGAAGAACGUUGGUGAGAGUGGAAAGCUCAUCAAGUGACGGUAACUACCCAGAAAGGGACGGCUAACUACGUG
rnacentral:rRNA from 1 species